AACGAACGCUGGCGGCAGGCUUAACACAUGCAAGUCGAACGGGUGUAGCAAUACAUCAGUGGCAGACGGGUGAGUAACACGUGGGAACCUUCCUAGGGGUACGGAACAACGCAGGGAAACUUGAGCUAAUACCGUAUACGUCCGUGAGGAGAAAGAUUUAUCGCCCUUAGACGGGCCCGCGUCGGAUUAGGUAGUUGGUGGGGUAACGGCCUACCAAGCCUACGAUCCGUAGCUGAUCUUAGAGGGUGAUCAGCCACACUGGGACUGAGGAACGGCCCAGAGUGCUACGGGAGGCGGCAGUGGGGAAUCAUGGACAAUGGGCGCAAGCCUCAUCCAGCCAUACCGCGUGAGUGAAGAAGGCCUUAGGGUUGUAAAGCUCUUUUACCAGGGACGAUAAUGACGGUACCUGGAGAAUAAGCCCCGGCAAACUUCGUGCCAGCCGCCGCCGUAACAC
rnacentral:rRNA from 1 species